rnacentral:sRNA from 1 species
UCUUUUCCUUCACUCUUCUUCUUCUUCUUCUUC